rnacentral:rRNA from 1 species
GGGUUGUGAGGUUAAGCGACUAAGCGUACACGGUGGAUGCCCUGGCAGUCAGAGGCGAUGAAGGGCGUACUAAUCUGCGAUAAGCGCCGGUAAGGUGAUAUGAACCGUUAUAACCGGCGAUACCCGAAUGGGGAAACCCAGUGUGAUUCGUCACACUAUCAUUAACUGAAUCCAUAGGUUAAUGAGGCGAACCGGGGGAACUGAAACAUCUAAGUACCCCGAGGAAAAGAAAUCAACCGAGAUUCCCCCAGUAGCGGCGAGCGAACGGGGAGGAGCCCAGAGCCUGAAUCAGCAUGUGUGUUAGUGGAAGCGUCUGGAAAGGCGCGCGAUACAGGGUGACAGCCCCGUACACAAAAGCGCAUGUGCUGUGAGCUCGAUGAGUAGGGCGGGACACGUGGUAUCCUGUCUGAAUAUGGGGGGACCAUCCUCCAAGGCUAAAUACUCCUGACUGACCGAUAGUGAACCAGUACCGUGAGGGAAAGGCGAAAAGAACCCCGGCGAGGGGAGUGAAAAAGAACCUGAAACCGUGUACGUACAAGCAGUGGGAGCACCCUUUGGGUGUGACUGCGUACCUUUUGUAUAAUGGGUCAGCGACUUAUAUUCUGUAGCAAGGUUAACCGAAUAGGGGAGCCGGAGGGAAACCGAGUCUUAACCGGGCGUUAAGUUGCAGGGUAUAGACCCGAAACCCGGUGAUCUAGCCAUGGGCAGGUUGAAGGUUGGGUAACACUAACUGGAGGACCGAACCGACUAAUGUUGAAAAAUUAGCGGAUGACCUGUGGCUGGGGGUGAAAGGCCAAUCAAACCGGGAGAUAGCUGGUUCUCCCCGAAAGCUAUUUAGGUAGCGCCUCGUGAAUUCAUCUCCGGGGGUAGAGCACUGUUUCGGCUAGGGGGCCAUCCCGGCUUACCAACCCGAUGCAAACUGCGAAUACCGGAGAAUGUUAUCACGGGAGACACACGGCGGGUGCUAACGUCCGUCGUGAAGAGGGAAACAACCCAGACCGCCAGCUAAGGUCCCAAAGUCAUGGUUAAGUGGGAAACGAUGUGGGAAGGCCCAGACAGCCAGGAUGUUGGCUUAGAAGCAGCCAUCAUUUAAAGAAAGCGUAAUAGCUCACUGGUCGAGUCGGCCUGCGCGGAAGAUGUAACGGGGCUAAACCAUGCACCGAAGCUGCGGCAGCGACACUGUGUGUUGUUGGGUAGGGGAGCGUUCUGUAAGCCUGCGAAGGUGGCCUGUGAGGGUUGCUGGAGGUAUCAGAAGUGCGAAUGCUGACAUAAGUAACGAUAAAGCGGGUGAAAAGCCCGCUCGCCGGAAGACCAAGGGUUCCUGUCCAACGUUAAUCGGGGCAGGGUGAGUCGACCCCUAAGGCGAGGCCGAAAGGCGUAGUCGAUGGGAAACGGGUUAAUAUUCCCGUACUUGGUGUUACUGCGAAGGGGGGACGGAGAAGGCUAUGUUGGCCGGGCGACGGUUGUCCCGGUUUAAGCGUGUAGGUGUGUGUUCCAGGUAAAUCCGGUUCACUUUAACACUGAGGCGUGACGACGAGGCACUACGGUGCUGAAGCAACAAAUGCCCUGCUUCCAGGAAAAGCCUCUAAGCAUCAGGUAACAUCAAAUCGUACCCCAAACCGACACAGGUGGUCAGGUAGAGAAUACCAAGGCGCUUGAGAGAACUCGGGUGAAGGAACUAGGCAAAAUGGUGCCGUAACUUCGGGAGAAGGCACGCUGACACGUAGGUGAAGUGAUUUACUCAUGGAGCUGAAGUCAGUCGAAGAUACCAGCUGGCUGCAACUGUUUAUUAAAAACACAGCACUGUGCAAACACGAAAGUGGACGUAUACGGUGUGACGCCUGCCCGGUGCCGGAAGGUUAAUUGAUGGGGUCAGCGCAAGCGAAGCUCCUGAUCGAAGCCCCGGUAAACGGCGGCCGUAACUAUAACGGUCCUAAGGUAGCGAAAUUCCUUGUCGGGUAAGUUCCGACCUGCACGAAUGGCGUAAUGAUGGCCAGGCUGUCUCCACCCGAGACUCAGUGAAAUUGAACUCGCUGUGAAGAUGCAGUGUACCCGCGGCAAGACGGAAAGACCCCGUGAACCUUUACUAUAGCUUGACACUGAACAUUGAGCCUUGAUGUGUAGGAUAGGUGGGAGGCUUUGAAGUGUGGACGCCAGUCUGCAUGGAGCCGACCUUGAAAUACCACCCUUUAAUGUUUGAUGUUCUAACGUGGACCCGUUACCCGGGUUGCGGACAGUGUCUGGUGGGUAGUUUGACUGGGGCGGUCUCCUCCUAAAGAGUAACGGAGGAGCACGAAGGUUGGCUAAUCCUGGUCGGACAUCAGGAGGUUAGUGCAAUGGCAUAAGCCAGCUUGACUGCGAGCGUGACGGCGCGAGCAGGUGCGAAAGCAGGUCAUAGUGAUCCGGUGGUUCUGAAUGGAAGGGCCAUCGCUCAACGGAUAAAAGGUACUCCGGGGAUAACAGGCUGAUACCGCCCAAGAGUUCAUAUCGACGGCGGUGUUUGGCACCUCGAUGUCGGCUCAUCACAUCCUGGGGCUGAAGUAGGUCCCAAGGGUAUGGCUGUUCGCCAUUUAAAGUGGUACGCGAGCUGGGUUUAGAACGUCGUGAGACAGUUCGGUCCCUAUCUGCCGUGGGCGCUGGAGAACUGAGGGGGGCUGCUCCUAGUACGAGAGGACCGGAGUGGACGCAUCACUGGUGUUCGGGUUGUCAUGCCAAUGGCACUGCCCGGUAGCUAAAUGCGGAAGAGAUAAGUGCUGAAAGCAUCUAAGCACGAAACUUGCCCCGA